GGGGCUGUGGCUCAAUGGUACAGUGUCUGCCUGGCACACAGAAGGUCAUAGCUUCAAUUCCUGGGAGGAUCA
rnacentral:tRNA from 1 species